rnacentral:lncRNA from 1 species
GAUGGUAAAAUUAAGAUAUUGAAAGGUUGGACAAUCGACUGAAAAUUAUCUACAAUUCAUAAUAAUUAAAUUACGUAUCAUUUUUAAAAAAAAUUAAUUUAAUAUAAAAUUAUCUAAAAAUAGUCAUAUUGUGCAUAAUAAUUGAAAAGGUAAUCAUAUAAUAAAGCUAGGAGCUUGACAUUACUCGAACUCAGAUUUUUUUUUUUUUGAGAGAUAGAUAGCACGCUACCCUCUUCGUUUAUUUCAUUUAGAAAUAAACUUAGCUGAAAAUGUAAAUCCACUAGAAUUCGAACUUGGGUCUCGAGUACUAACCACCAAGCUCUUUGUCAUUUGCUCUAGGGACGGCCAGUGAUAUUACGUAAAACAACCAUUAUAGUCUAAAAGCCUUAACUAUUAGAAAAUAGUAUUUAUAUAUCACAAUUACAUUCUCCUAAAAAUAUCUCUGUUAUCGCUAAUAUGUUAGCUGGUAUGUAUUGUACGAACUAAUUUAUUAUGUUUUUCAUCAGAGUAGCCUAUAUUGAAGUAGCACGCCACAAGCAAUUUGAAACGUGUACACGCAUAAAAUAGGGUCAUGUUUUUUAUGCGUAAUUUAGUAACACAGGGUAAUCAAAAGAUGUUAAAAAAGAAAUUACAUAACAGUGAAGUUGGAAUUAUCUUAAACACAAGUAUCAAUUAAAACAACUCAAAUGUUAAUACUUACAUAUAAAUACACACACACAUAUAUAUAUAUAUAUAUAUAUAUAUAUAUAUAUAUAUUCCUUAGCACUCCCAAACAGACGCCAAAGGCAAAAGGGGACAAAAAAGUGAAGCCCUUUUUUUGUCUUCGACCCCCACAAGAGCCAAAGAGUGCUCUCCCUUUCAAUCCCCCACCCCCACCUCCUUUGCUGUUACACUGACCCUCCUCUCCUGCAGCUCUGCUCUCCCCCAGAGCCUUUCCUGGAGAGUAAAAUAGCCUAAACUGAAUAAACUCUUUCUUUAAGAGUGGGUGCAGAGAGAGAGAGAGAGAGAGAGAGAGAGAGAGAGAUCAGAGAUCAGAGAUCAGAGAGAGAGAGAGAAGUUUAAUUUGGUUGCAUAUCUUAAUUAGCACAUCUUGAAGAGGGAGUGACUGACUGAGAGAACUCCUGAUCUUAUUACUCUCCCUUGUAUAUUCAGGUGAGCUCUCUCUUUUUGGAGUCUUAUUAUAUAUGGGUGUUGGAUGAGCACCCACCCAGUUGGAGUUUUUGGGCUUAUGAUUAUUAUUGUUGCGAUCUCCACAAUCAAAUUAAAACCCAUUGAUUCGACCACAUACGCAUGUACCCUGUUCUCCCGUUUUCUUUCUCCUGUCGUUUUUGAGAAGAUUGGUAGAAAAUCCCGUCUCCUGUUCUCUCCUGUUCUAAAAGCCCAAAAACUUGGGCUCUUUUAAAGAACAAAAGAAAAAAAUUUGGGGUUCAAUGUCUCCGAAACGCAUGAACUUGGUAAUGUUCAUGCGCUCGUCCCCGCUGUCGAACUCUUUUGUAGAACUGUUUCUUCCUUCUACUUAUAGCCUUCUAUAAAUAACUCUUCUUCUUCUUCUUCUUCUUCCGAAUCAUCUCAAGGGCCCAUUAAUCUCUCCUAAAAGCACAAACUUGGUAGUUGAUGAUGAUGAUGAUCAUCAUAGGGUAAUAAAAUACCCAAAAUUAGCAGUUCCUUUAAUUAGCAGUUCGAUCCCCGAUCGAAUCUCCGCCGCUGCGGCGGCGGCGUCGGCGGCGUUAUGGUUCAGGACGAUGGGUCGUCGUCGUCCUCGGCGACGUCGUCCUCGCCGCUCCAGAGCUUCUCCCAGAUGACGCUGUCGCCCACGGCCGCCGGGGCCGGGGCCGGGGCGUGGGUCGGGGAGCUGCGGUCGGAGGAGCGGGGGCUGUACCUGAUCCACCUGCUGCUGAACUGCGCCCACGAGGUGGCGGCGGGCGCCCUGGAGCGCGCGUCGGCGCUCCUCGACCACGUCUCCGCCCUCGCCCACCCCUCCGGCGACCCCAUGCAGCGCCUCGCCACCUCCUUCGCCGACGCCCUCGCCCGCCGCGCCCUCCUCCGCUCCUUCCCGGGCCUCCUCCGCUCCCUCUCCCCCUCCGCCCCCCCUCCCCCCGCAUCGUCGUCGUCGUCGUCGUCCUCGUGGCCGUCAUCGACCCCGGCGCUCCGCCACUUCUUCAGGCUCUGCCCCUUCCUCCCCCUCGCCGCCGCCCUCUCCAACCACGCCGUGGCGGCGGCCAUGGAGUCGGAGCGCGUGGUCCACGUCGUCGACCUCCGCGCCCCCUCCGACCCCGCCCCCGCCGGCGACCUCCUACCCUCCUGGCGUCCCGGCCCGGCGGGCCCCCGCACCUCCGGCUGACCGCCAUCCACCCCGACCCCGACGCCCUCGCCCUCCUCGCCUCGUCCCUCUCCAAGGAGGCCGAGCUCCUGGACGUCCCCUUCCAAUUCCACCCCCUCCUCUGCCCCGACCUCCGGCGCCUCGACCUGGAGUCCCUCAAGAUCAAAUCCGGCGAGGCCCUGGCCGUGACCUCGACCCUGGCCCUCCACUCCCUCCUCUCCUCCUCCGAGUCCCUCUCCUCCUUCCUCUACUCCCUCCAGCGCCUCCGCCCCAAGGUCCUCGUCCUCGCCGAGCAGGAGGCCGACCACAACGGCCCCACCCUCGUGGCGCGCUUCGUCGAGUCGCUCAACUUCUACGCCGCGCUCUUCGACUGCCUGGAGUCGGCCGCCCCCCGCCACUCCCCCGAGCGCGCCGCCGUGGAGCGCCUGCUGCUGGGCGAGGAGAUCCGCAACAUCAUCGUCUGCGACGGCCCCGACCGCACGGAGCGCCACGAGAAGUUCGACCGCUGGGCCCGCCGCCUCCACGCCGCCGGCUUCUCCCCCCUCGCCCCCUCCUUCCCCGCCCGCCGCCUCCUCCACGACUUCCGCUGCCACGGCUGCAAGCUGCGCCACGACGACGCCUGCCUCUUCAUCUGCUGGCAGGACCGCCCCCUCUUCUCCGUCUCCGCCUGGACUUGCCGCCGCUUAAUCGAUUGACUACUUGACUACUACUCAAUCACUACUCAUCUCCUCUCUAUCUAUCUAUCUAUCUUUCUAUCUAUCUUCUUCUUCCAAACAAGAAAGAUUAGAGAUAGGUAGUAGUAGGUCCUGCAUGUGUAGUUCUUCUUUUAAUAUAUUUUUUAACCUUAACUUACUUAGGCUAGCUAGCUUUUAUUAAUUUGCUGGUCUCUGUUCUUUUUUCUUUUUUUCUUUGUUUCUUUUUUCUUUUUUUUUUGGCUAGGCAAUGCUGUGUAUAUAUCCUCUUGCUCCACCUCUACUAAUGCAGCGAUGCAAUGUGCUCUUGCAAAAAGAGACCUCUCUCUGUAUGUGUGUGUGGUUUUAACCCUUGUUAAUAUGUUAGCCAGUGAUCCAUCUCUUUCCUUUGCAGACCUCAUUCCACUGCAGAGAAUUUGAGCAAAAAGAAUGAAAACUUGCAAGCAUAGAAAUUAGCAAGAGAUUUUUUUUUUUUUUUUUUUUUUUGGGCCUUCGUAUCAAUCAAUCAUGGUUCAUCUUCUAUGAGGGAAACUGACACUUCAUUACUGCAUUUGUCUCAACGGGACUAAAAAUAAAAAACACUUGUUGUGAUGUGUCAUAGCCUUUUCUCUUCUAGCAUUAUUGCUGUGCUGGAUCAUAAUAGUGCCCAUUUUUGGUGGCAUCUUGUGUAUGGAAAGAUUUGAAUACAACAAAUUUUCCUUUCCGCUCAUGGCUGCUUGUUUUUUUUGUCCUGGCCUGUUAGGUUUCCUGUCAUCUCAUCUUCACGCUCGCAUACACCAUGUCCUUAUUUCUAGUUUCAUGAGUGUUCUUCUACUUCGUGUUGUUCCUAUCUGUUUUUUGUUCGCUCUGAACAUGACAGUUGUUGUCUUUUGCAUUAAGCUAUUUGUGUUAAGAAUAUUGAACGCAUAAUAAUAAUAUUAAAUUCCUGAUUUGUAUAUAACCCACCAAAUUAGAGAUAGAGAUUCCACCUCUCUCGAAUUGUAACUGGCCCUAGUUACUUGAAACAGUAGUUUCCUAUUUUAUCUGCAAUUUUGUGAGUGAGAUAGUCUUUCGGUUGGACUUUAAAUUCUCACUAAAUUGUAGAAAUUUUUUUUCUAAAUACUUUUUUUUUUUUAAUUUUUUAAAAAAUUAUAUUUUAUUCUCUUAAUAUUUCAAAUUGUUGCGUUUAACCCUUCUCAGCUAGAGUUUCAUUCCUAUCCCGUUUAUUUAUUUUUUAUAUUUUAUAUUGAAAAUACCUUUAAAAAAAUAAAAAUAUAUUGAAAAAUAUUUCAAUAGAAAAUUUUUUUAAUCUGAAUAAAAGAUAUCAUAAUGUGACUGUAUUCGAAUACACAAAUAAAGUUUUAGAGAGUGCAAAACUAUUUGAAAUUUCUCUUUUAGGUUUGGGAGUUGUUAUUUUUUAAUUAUUAUUUUUUAAUAUAGUUUUGUAAAAACUUACAUUUUAUAAAAUUCUACACUGAUGUAAUUAAGUUUUAUUUUUUAAUAAAAUGCCUACAGGCUUUAACCUAAAAAAAUAAAUAAAUAAAUAAAUAAAUAACUAUUCGAAUAUUGUAAAAAAUCGGAUGCGGAUAACUAAAAAUUUCGAAAUUUGUCAGUAAUCGGAUCCUCUCUUUCUCUCCUAAAACCGAACCCGUACCCGCUCCGCUCCCUCACCCCGACGAAACCGUAAACCCCGCACGUUCUCUCAUCUCCCUCCGCAUCUCCCAUUCUCCGCUCAUCUCUCCUCUCUCCAAACCCUAAACUCUCUCUCUCUCUCUCGAUCUCUCGAUCUCUCGACCCCGCUCUCUCGCGAGGACGACGACGAGGAGUCGGUGGCGAUAUCUAGGGUUAGCUCCCCUUAUCGAUACCUCUCUAGUGAUUAAGGAAUCAAAUUAAUGUUUAUGGAAGCUUGGUUUUUUGGACUAAAUGUAUGCUUUAAUGUUGCAAGAAUUUAUAGGUUUCCUUUGCUGAUGCUUUACUUACUGAUCGAACGAUUGUGCAUUUCUCCAUAGACAAGAACCAAAGUGGGCGUAGAAAUUGAUAAAUUAAGUUGUGUAAAUGUUUUCAGCAUCAGAUUCAUCAAUUCCAACUGCUGUACGUGUGUCCUAUGAGCAACAUUUCUUGUGUUUUGUUCUUUCUCACCAACUUGCUUAGUUUCUGAACUUUCGCAGCUUCGUGCACCGGUACGUGAAUCAGGACCAAAUAAGAUUAUCAACAACUGUCUAACAGCAAUUCUGACGCAGCUUGUCAACAAUAAACUUCGAUUAUCGAGCAAUUUUAGUUACUUUCAGCUGUUUCGACAUAAGUAAUUAUGUCAGUGGACUUUUCUCUGUUGUUAACCCAAUCAUGUAGUUCUAAUUAACCAUACAAAAAGGUGUCUGGAACUAGAAUAACCUGAAAGUUGAAUCCGCCUGUCAUUCCGUCAAUGUUGAGCACCUGCGUCCAAAUCACCUUCUGUGAUGCAAUAUCUUUCGCACGAAAUUUCUAAUCUUUUUAUGGAAAUAUCAAAAUCUCACCUCUCCUGGAAAGAAGAGAUUUGGUUGCUUCUGACUUUUCCAUGGGGUUAAGUGAAAUCUUCAUAAACAAGGGAAUAGAAUUAGGGAAUUGGGUUAGAGUAUGAAAUAAUGGAGGAGUUGAUCGUUUGUAACCUAAUGAUGCUAAAGUUUCUUUUGUUUUUGUUGUAAGUUGUAACCUAAAUUGCCUGGUAGGCCAUUUCUUUGUAUUAGUUUUGCUAAUGCGGCAUGUAGUUUCUUGCUGACAUUUGAGUUUAACUUUGUAGGUCUUUCAAUGGCAGAAGGUACGUCUGCUAAUCAUGAGGACCUCCGCAAUCUAAUGACGUCCUUAGCGGAAUUUAACAUGGAGACGGCAUCAUUCACCGAACAUAAUCAAAGGGAGCGACAUGGUAUGAAUAUAUGCCCCUUCCAUUACAUAUUGAAUUUAGACAUCUCUAAUCUUCUCUUUGAAAAGUUUUGCGUUUUGCAUAUGCUACUUUACCGGUAUUGCAUGUGGAUUAAUUCUGUUCUUAAAUUUAGCUAGACAUUUUUAAAUCUAGGUGUCUCAAGUGUUUGCUUAUUUGCAAACUUAUAACUGCACAUCAGAUUAUUAUAUAUUGUUUUCAUUUUUUAUGUGACUAUGUUGUUAAAUGUAUUUAUAUGACUUUGAAAAAAAAUCGAUGUCCUCAUUUGUCACUUCGAAAGAAGCUCGCUUAUGUAGCGUGUUGAUUUUUAAGGUACUCAGAUAUUCUAUGAUGAAGAUCUAGUCUCUCUUUGCGGUUUGCAUGUGCUGACCAUGAAUUGUGGAAUUGGAGUUUGAGAUGGUUGUAGUAGAGCGUACAAUGUGGUUUAGCAAAGGUAAUAACUAUGUCAAUUAAUACAUUGUAUGUUAUGAUUUCAGAUAACGGUUCUGAUGAUUGCUUCGGUGAAGAUGAAAUAUGGGGAGAUGCUUCAGAUGACGACGUGAAUCAUGGCACUGCUUUAAGCAGAGAAUGGGAAUGGAGGCACAACCGAUUUCAUACUGUAUCCUUGACAGAUGUUCUAUUCACAUUUACUCCCUAUAUUUAUGUUGUUCUUUGAAUUUUUGUGCUAGACAAAUCGGACUUAACAAAAGAUUAGAUGGGUUACCGGGAUGGUAUAACUGAAGGAAAGCAAGCUUCUGCACAAGAGGGUUUCAAUAUUGGCUUUAAACAGUCCGUGCUUGUUGGUUACAAAUGGGGCCUUGUUAGAGGCAUUACCAGGUAAAUUGGUAAUUCACUUUGUCAUACACUUUUUCCCUUUAAUUUUUAAUCUCUCUAACAUUUUCUUGAUUAUUGUGUAUUCACAGUGCAAUAGCUAGCCUUCCUGAAAACUUGAGAGAGAAAUUAGUGCCCAAGUCUGAGAUCCGGAAAGGAUUUGAGAACUUGCACACUUCUGUGCAGACGAUUUCAACCACUGAUGCACUCAAGAUGUAUCAUAAAAGCAUUGCUGCGAGUGAAGCAGGGCAGUCCUCUGAUCAUUCAGAGCAGAAGCUCCAAGACGAAGAUUCCAAUGCCAACAAAUUGGAGACUCUAUCUAAUGAUCUCAUUCUCCUCCUACACGAAACUCCCGAGAUAAAAAUCACCGAAGAAGAAUUAAAGACGCGAGAUAAGUAAAUAACCUCCUCGUAAAGGAAGUUGGUGGCGUCGUGUAUGUUGUACAAGAUAUACGUGUAUUUUAGCACCAAAAUGUGCCUUCCAAUACUGAAGCUGCAGAUCAGUUCAGAGUAAACGCGGCACUAUCAUUUUACUUUUUUUUCUUUUGUAGGGAAAUUAGUUGUGAGUCAACUUGUCCGGAUUAACGUUAAUGUAGAAAUCCAUCUACCUCAUCUUUUGCUAUUAUGUGUUUAGUGUAAUUCUUUUUCAUGCUUAAUUAUGAUUAACCAGAGUUAAAGGAGCAAAGAAGAAUCAUUAUGUUGAUAAUUGAUGACUGUAAGUCUGUAACAUGAAAUUCCUUUAUUUUCUCUCAUGCUCGAGUUGGUAUCACGUUUCCGACAAGAGGGUAAUUUUUUAAUAUAAAUCUUUCAAAAUAGUUCUUCUCCCCAGCAAAUGCAAAAUAGAUGGAAAUAUGUAUAGCUAACUCUUUUGAGUUAUUUUAACUGAAAUCUCUGGCUUGUGAUACUGCUGCUGUUUUUCUCCAUUUUUAAAAUUCAUGUGAGGUUCAGAUCCUCUUGAACCCUCUGAUAAGCAUUAAAAAAAAAAGAUGGAUGAGAACUCAUCCAAAUCAAUUGAUAAUUAAUUUUCAAAGAUUACACAUAUCAGGGGGUAUAAUCUGUGCAAUUAUGCAUAUAGCCUGUGCAGAAACUGUAUUAACUGCAAGAAGAAAUGUUUAAACACUACUGUUAUAAAUAUCAGGGCAUUUAUUUGAUACAUUACUAAUCAUAUAACAAACCCCGGUAGUCAGGUCAGUCAUUAAACAUGGAUUAUAUAUUUACAUUUCAUAAUAACUUUGUAGAUCCUUUGCUUCUUACACCCCCACAGUGCAAACUAUAUGAACAACAAAUCAGUUUGUCACCAUAGAUCAUUCACUUCCUGGUCCCUGGCUCUAAUAUUGCAGCGACCCCGCAAGUUAUUUGUUAGUUUCAACCAUACUAUAACACAACAACAAAAGAGGAAAAGAGAAGAGAAAAAUUAGAACAUGAAACCUUACAGGAGAACUAGCAAUUAAGAUAGCUUACUUUUUCGGGGUAAAUGUUAUUACAGUUGUUCAAACCAUCAGCUGCAAGCUUGGAUAGGCCUGAAUCUUGCUGUCUCAUUCUGCACGGAUUUUUCACACACAGGUAUCGGUAUAACGGUCUCGAAGGCUUCUACAAGCAGUUCGACUUUCUUUUUCCGAGCAGGAGCUAACUUGUUUACUGCUUUCCGAAGCGCAUAAUCUAUCAUCCAUUCCUCCGCGUUCUUCCUUUCGUCCAUCAUCUGAUGCCUGAGAUCGACCUUCUCUGCAUCUGGGUCCGGUUCUAAUGGAAGAAACCGUGGGGACCGAGGAUUAAAUUCUCUUAUAUAUUCCGAUUCCUGGGUUGUUCGCCUUCUUGCUAUGAUGUAUCUAUUCUUAGAGAACUCCAUGGUAGAAUCCAUGUAUUCGUCUUCUCCGAGGCUCAUCGCGCUGAAUGCAACACAAAUCUCGUCAACUUCGCAUUCUUCUUUAUCUUGAAAUUGCAAUGUCUCAUUUAUGUCAGACUCCGACGAGCCACCACCUUCUUCAGAGGCUUCCUCCUCCUGGUUCCUAAAAGAGAAAUUUUGGGUCUCAGGAGCAAAAUUUGGUUCCUCAGCAGCAUGUUCCGAUUUACUUGUGAUCUGUUUUUCCUCCUUUUCUUCCGGUUCAGCGUCAAUAUCUUCUUCAAUGUUACUACUCGCCUCAAUUCGAUUCGAAACUUGGUUGUCCGAGCUACUAUUUGUUUCAAAAUUAACUUGUUGAUAUGCUUCAUCGCCUUCUGAGAUGGCACUAGAUAUGAUUUCAUGUUCAGGAAAAGAGCUUACUUGUUCAAUUCUCGCUUCCUCCUCAUUGAUCUUCUCUUCAAACGCCAAGCUUGAGAUAUUCUCCUCUUCACCAACUUGGCCACAAGGAAAAUGGGCAGCUUGGUUCUGAAUUUCAACACCUUCGGACUCGAAAGGCUCGUCGAUUGUAGAUAUUUCUUUUCCGCAGUCAGAUAGAGCAUCACUUGUUUCAUGAGAAAUCUCCGCACCGCAUUCAACCAUCCCACACGGAUCUAAAUUGGACUCUGUCUCGAAUAACAAUCCAAUAUUAAGUUCAUCAUUUUGAAAUGAACUUUCUCGUACUCGCGUUGCUCCAUCAUCACUGCUCUCGUAGCAGUCACUUUUGUUAUCAUCGGGAAAGAGGUUUGCGUCCUCCAUAGAAUCCAUAUCAGAGGGUUUACGAUCUGGUAAAUUAGAUUCACACUCAACAUGGUCUUCACUAUGUUUCUCCGACUCCUCUAUUACAUAAUCAUGGGGUUUUUCUCCCUUGCCUUUGCAGUUCUGAUCGCGGCUUACAUAUUCGAGAAACUUCAUCGUCUCAUCCAUUUCUUCGACAGAAGAAUCACUCCAUCGGUCUGCAUCGUCCGCCAAAUCAACAACCGAAUUACUAUUUACCUCUUCUUCUCUGAAGCUUCUUCGAUCAAACUCUUCUUUCUCCAUCGUAUUCGUCUCCAGUUUAGCAUAAAUCUCAACAAAGAAAUCAUCAACUUCCUCUGCAUGCACCAAAGGAGUGAUCUUUAAACCGGAGCCGGAGGGGCUUUCGCUUAAAUUAGCUUGCCCAGUAUCCAUCUCCUCGAAAGAACCCUUCUUUCUGAAUUGGGCAACACCUUUCAAUCUAAAGCUCUUCUGGGUUCUCAUCAGCUUCCUCCUUGAGGCCAAGAAGCACUUCAGAGGGGGCAAACCCUCAUUCCUGUGGCCAUUCAAAGAGCAGUAGGUGUAGGGGCAAACCUUGAUUGCAGAAGUGCCCUGAGCUUCUGUUGCCCCUGGGCUCAGUUCCAGGGCCUUUGGGAACUUGGAAUCCUUGAGAGUUGAAGAGCAUGUUGCCCUGUUCACAUGCAUGCUGGAGCACACAAGGAUCCCUAUGUUCCUCUUCAGUGCAGGCCUUAUUGGCUUCCUCAAACUGGGCUUUUUCUUCAGGCUCUUUGGGGAUUGAUGGGUGCUUACCUUUGGAAGCUCCUUCCUUGCAUCUGAACUUGUUGUGGGCUUCAUGUAGUUGGGCAAAAGAUCCCUCUUUUUAGCAGCAGCAGCAGGAGGAGGAGAGGGGGUCUUCUUAUUGAGCUGGACAUAUCCAGCACCAUCUAUGUCUGAGAUGGUGAUUGAUCUCAACUCCUUCAUCUUCUUCUUUGUGUCUUGUUGAAGGUGGUGAGGAGGAAGGGGCUUCUCAGGAUAGGGGCCCUGCUUCUCCAUGGCUCUGGCCUGAGGGGAGAGCCUUUUGGGUGCUUUUCUUUGCACCAUGGUGGGAUGUGGGAGAGGGGGAAGAAGGAAACCAAGUUGAGGUUAGGGGGAGUUUGGUUUAUAGAAGGAAAAAAAGAUUUGGGUUUUGGCUUUAACUUUUGGUGUUUUCUUAGGAAGGAAGGGAGGGAGUAAAAGAAAGAAAGAAAGAAAGAGUGAGUCUAUAACCUUGUUGUUCUUGUUCUUCUUUGAAAAGGAAACCUCAUAGAGAGAUUCUUUUCCUUUGAAUUUCUAGAGGGUGUUGGUGUUUGUUCAUUGUGGGUGGGCGGCUGAGGUCUUUGCUUUUACUCUUUUUUUCUUUUUCUUUUUUUUAAUAACUAGGAAGGAAGAAAGAGGGUGAUUGGUCUUAGCCAAAAUAUUUGAAUAGUGUAUUGUAUCUUGUACCAGAUAAUAUACAUCAGAAUAUUGUCAAUAAAUCAGUUUUAUCUCGUAUAACAGCUAAUUGAUUAGCUUUGCUUCUAAGAUGAAAAAAACUAUGGUACUUGGUUAUAUUUCAUUCGAUUGCCAUGCGUAUCAUGAAUUGUAUUCAUUAAUAGCAUUUUGAAUUAUAUUUGUUCUUCAUAAAUUAUAAUGUGUCAGUAAAUUUAUAUUACAUUUUAACUGUAUAAAUGAACUAUAUAAAGUCUUUAUGUUACAUGUUAUUCUGGAAGAUUCCUAACACUACUUUUCUAAAAGAUAGAGAAGAAUUAACAACUAAUUAAGGAUUAUGAUAUUGACACCCACCCUAGGAUGGUGGUGGAUAGAGAUAAGCUUAAUUCCUGCACUCAUCCUCUUAGAUGGUGGCUUUGGAUGCUCAAAUUAUUAUUAUCAUUAUUAUUUUAAUUAUUUGAUGUGACAUUUGGAGCUCUCACAAAUUGGCUUCUAGUGCCCAUUGUCUCUUUCUUUUGGGGUACAUUUUUUAAAAGCAUUGACAACAUAAGCUCAGGAUUUUUUUUUAAAAAAAAAAAAGCUUCCAAAAUUGGCUGCAUUUAGUUACUUAGUAAAUGCAGUUUGAUUUCAAAAAUUUGAAAUUCGUCAAUCAUCGUUCUUACUUAUUCGUACAUAAAUCUUAAUAAUUUCAAUGGUUUUAAUUACUAUGUGAGCAGUGGUCGCAUUAGGUUUGCAGAAAAUUUAAUGAGGUGGCAAUUGAUUCGGAGGAGAAAAAAGAAAAACUUGUUCUUGCAAUUAUAAUGAAGUAUAAUAAUGGUUGGUUGGUAUAAAAUGUGGAAAAACUUCAAAAACCUUCCUUGUAGUUUCUUUUUUUUUCACUUUAAUACCCUGUGGUUUAAAAUGUAUCAAGUUAGUACCUUAUGAUUUCUCACUUUAUCACUUCAGUAUCCUUUGCAGGGUACUAAAGUGAUAAAGUGCAAAAUCACAGGAUACUAACUUGAUACACUUUAAACAAUAGGGUACUAAAGUGAUAAAGUGAGAAACCACAGAGUAUUAACUUGAUACACUUUAAAUUAUAGGGUACUAAAAUAAAAAAGUGUGAAACUACAUGGGGGUUUUUGCAAUUUUUCCAUAAAAUAUUUUCCUCGUGCUUGUUGCCUCGCGCGGGUCACGGCCUCGGCAUUUAUUGCGUGCGUGCAUACGAGAAAUUAUUGUAUGUACUCAACAAAAUAAUACAUAGUAUAUAUUGCAACUUAGUUAAAAAUACUACCACUUAAGUUUAAAAUUAUAAAAUUUAACUAUUUAUUUUUAUAUUUUUUUUUUUGAAUUUUGUUGCUUUUUGUGAUCACUUGCAUGUCUAAAAAAAUCUUUAGAAAUUAAUAAGCAAUUAUAAUAUAUAGUGCAUGAGAUGUAAAUAUAUUGGUGCGCGCAAAACGUGCAUCCGUGUGCGCGCACACUCACUCAUGUUGUAUGGGACUCACUACUACGAUGAAAAGAACCCAAUAAAAUAAAAACAGAACGAUCCCCCCGAUUUAUAAAUAUUGGAAACAGGUACGCGAACUAUUAGUUUAUUUGGACUUUAAUCCCCUAAUUGACAUUCUUUCAAUAAUAAUUUUUUUUUUCCCCUAGUACACAUUGAAGAAUUAAAAAUCCAGCCAAAAAUAGUUACAUGUUGCUAAUAAUUUUUGAUACCAUUACCUGGAAUGAUAUUUCAUGACAAUUGUUAAUUAAUAUCUGAAAAUUGUAGUGUUUUGUAAGACGAAAAAUAUAACAAGCUGUUCGGCUCGUUUAUUAUUAAUUUUUUUAAAAAAAAAAAUUGAAUCUCAGAUAUUAAUUAUUAAGUUUUGAGCCAGUUAUGCUAGAUAUGAUCAGUCUAUUUGAAAAAUAUAGUUAAAAAUUAAAAUACUAGAAGCAUCACAUUAAAAUAUUCUGACCUUUUUUUUUUCUUUAUUAACAUAAAUAUUCUUUUUGAACGUGCACGACAAAUAUUCGUGUUCUCAAAAAUUUGCAUUGGAGAAAUGCUUUCGCUUACUAUAUAUGGUUGGUUCAUGCAAAUAUUAUGGUAAACUAUUUUCUCAAAAAAAAAAAUUUAAAGAAAAUAUUAUUUUCAUAGUUUUCAUUUUCAGAUACGAAAAAACAAAAGACUCUUACACAAAAUGUGAAAAAAGAAAUAAUCCGUAAAACUUUUUUCAGCUAAGAAACUAUUUUUUUGAAACUUUUUUACGGAAAAACAAACAUGGAUAAAAGGCACAAUAUUGUGUUUGGUGUAAAUGAUUUUUAAUUAGUUUAUACAGUAUUCGAAAACAGUGAAAUGCGCGAGUUUGUUAACGUGUUAACAAUACAUAAAGGUAAUAUAUACUAAGAAAGCUACAUCAAGUAGUUUUGUUCACAAAUAUCUAUUAAUUGAGAAUGUUUACAAUCAUGCAUACUAAUUUAUCAUUAAAAAUAUAAAAGGAUAGUAUUUUUUUAAGAAAAAGAAAAAGAAUUGUAGCACUAAAUAGUUACGUAGGUAUCUCUUCUUAAUUGUAAUUCUGAGACAACUAUCAAUAGAAAGUAGUGCUCAUUACAUGCAAUACUUAUAGCUUAGUAUAAUCUUAGUGAAGAAUAUAAUUGUUAAAAGCUCAUACAGGAAUAGUUUUAUAUCAGAAAUUUUUUUUUUGAGAGAGACAGUACGCUACUAGCUUCGUUUAUUUCAUUUAGAAAUAAACUUAGCUGAAAAUGUGAAUCAACUAGAAUUCGAACUUGUGACCUCGGAUACCAAUCACCAAGUUUUUUGCCACUUACUUUAGAGACGGUUGGUUAUAUCAGAAAAUUAAUGUGAGUGAAAAUGAUAGACAUAUAUAUUUGCUGGGCACCAAACCCCUAACAAUAUCAUUAAAUGUCUCCGUAAAUGAUUGUGGAGAGGUUUAUUAUUGAUUAUUGGGAAAACUUCAAAAACCCCCUCUGUGGUUUCGUGCAUUCUCACUUAAGUACCAUGUAGUUUACAAUGUAUCAAUUUGUCCUCCUGUGGUUUCGUUUUUAAUUAUCUUUUCAGAAGCUCUUUCGUUAAUAUUUCGUUAAAUUAUAUACAAAAAACUUCAGAUAACCAUCUAUGUUUGUCGAAUAUUCACUUUAGUAUCAUUUAAUUUUAACUUUGUCACUGAUUUAAGAAAAAAAUAAUAAUAAAAUUGAUCACAAAAAGAGAAAAACGAAACCACAGGGGAGCAAAUUGACACGUUUUAAACCACGGGGUACUAAAGUGAGAACGUGCGAAACCACAGCGGGGUUUUGAAGUUUUCCCUGGAUUAUUUUUGCUACAUCUGGGGUACAAAAAGGCAUUUUAAUUUCUAUAUAUAUCAAUGGGGAACAAAUAAAGAGUGAAUCAGUGGGACAGGGAUCCUUGUGCUUUGAAAAAUGAUAUGAUAGCAAACAACGGCUAGUCAAAAUUGGUCACCAGAUAUUUGUCAGAAAAUUUUUGUUUAUAGAACUGCUCAAAAGUUUGAAUUCAAAAUUGAGGGUAGCAACGGUUCAACCCAUAAAUCCUCUUAACGAAAAAAAAAAAAAAAAAGAAAGAAGAAAAAAAAGGGUUUGACCAGCAAAAUGUAAUCCAUCUAUAUAAAAAGAAUCUGGUACGAGCACAUAGAUUUUUUUAUUUCUUUUUUCAAUUGGGAAAGAUUUUGAUUCGCCACUAAUUAUAGAUAAAGAAAUAUAGUUAGAUAAAUUUAUAUCCAAUUAUAAAUUAGGGAUCAAAAUAGAAGUUGGUGAUAAAUUUUGGAGAACGAAAGUGUGAUUACACCAAUGACUAAGACCCCAACACCAAAGUGAUGAUACAUGGAAAUAAUAAUAUUAUUAUGGAUCAAAGGCUUUCAAAAAAAAAAAAAAAAGUAUUUUAAAAUAUCAUUUCAAUAUAAAAAUAUCGUAUUAACUUUCCAUUAGAACCUUUUAUCAUUUUACAUAACACAAUAGAAUUAAUGAGAAAUAUCUUAUUGUUUUUUUUUUAGAGAUAGGUAGCACAAUAUCCGUUUCGUUUAUUUUAUUUAAAAAUAAAUUUAGCUAGAAAUAUGAAUCAACUGGGAUUCGAAUUUGGGUCUCGAAUAUCAACCACCAAACCCUUUGCCACUUGCUCUAGGAACGAUCGGUGAAAUAUCUUAUUGUUAGACAAAAGACUUGUGACAAGUAGUAGUGCCGUAAAUCCGCCUAAUCGGCGAGCCAAAUGCAAUGCAAGGGUUGUGAGACCACAGGACUUCGCGUUGUAUGCGGUGCGAGACCUUCUAAUCCAAAUAUUCUUGCUCACUCGGCGAACCUAUUUAUUAAUUGUAAUAUGAAAAAAAAAAAAAAAAAAAGAGAAAGAAAGAAGUUUGCUGUUGACAAUUUGGAAUAGUCGGCGCCGACCGAUGGGUGAAAAAGAAGCGGGAAUAUUUGGAUGAGUGAGGGAUAUCUCUUUAAAUAUAAUAUAAAUAAAAUAAAAAAUAAUUAUGCAGCAAAAAAAAAAAAAAAAAAAAAAAAAAAAAAACUAUGGGAGUGGGACCCACCAAAGUAAUGGUCGGCGAAAAGUAGCGGAGGAUAAGGGCCUGGUGGGCUCCACCUGGCCGGCCCAAGUGGGCCCAUCACCCCAAAUCCUUUCCUAAUUUCCCACGAGCAAAAGAUCAAAAAGUUUAUUAAGUCCACGCACACGCACGCACACGCACUCCUCUUCCCCUUUCCACGUCCCUUUCCAUCUCUUGCUUUUUUAUCCCUAGCUUGGGGGGUCCAAAUUUUUAAACAAAGGUAAUAUUAAUAAAGGAAAAUUGCACUUUCGGUUCUCAAACUUUGAAGCAAGUGACACUUUGAUUUCAAAGCUUAAUUUACCGUAGUUUUUGUCUCAAACUUUUUAAAGUAUUGUAAUUAAGUUCUAUAAUUUAAUUUAGUUGACUGAAUACUGAUAUUUCGCUAAUACGACAGUGACACAUCAUCUCAGUAAUUAUCAACUCGUCAAUUGCGAUGCUAUCAUAUUAGCAACGUAUUAUUAUUUAACCAACUGAAUUAAAUUGUGAAACUUAAUUGUAAUAAUUUCUAAAAUUUGAGACAAUAGUAGCAGCAAAAUAAAGUUUUAGGACUGCAGCGUCAUGUACAUCAAAGUUUGAGGACCAGAAAUGCAAUUUAGCCUACACAAAAAGCUGUACUCUCAAGGGCCAACCCAAUGGGCUACUUAUUAAGGUCUCUUCCAUGCCGCCGCCCGGCCUGUGUGAUGAACAAUUGGGCCACCAAGCUGGGCCUAACGAGCCCUUAAACCGUAAAAAAGAAAAAAAUAAUAAAAAAAAACCCAAACAAUUCAGCUUUAUGUCCUUAAUUUAUCAUGCCUAAUUUGAUACUAUAGUGGCUAAAAACACUUCUUUUACACUUUUAGAGUGCCCAAAAAGUUCAAAGCAGCACUUGCAGUUAUAUUAGAUGAACAACUCCUCAUGGCAGUUAAAUCUAAUGGAUUUACUAUUGAAUUUAAAAAGUUCCUCAAUAUAACAUAUAGAAAUAAUUUACAAAGAAUUGAGUGGUAUAUUGUGGCCUCUUCUGGUCUUAAUCUAUAAUUGUAAGGAUUUUCUUGCAGCAAUAAAAAGAACAAUAAAUAUUGGAGACACCAGAAAUAUGAGAUAUGGGAAUAUUUGAUUUACUCCACCUUCAUUUUGCUCCUCUUCUGCAGCAGUGUAGUUAUCUUUGUUCUCUAUGAAUGCAUCAAAGUAUGUUUCAUACCCUGUUGUUCGUGGCAGCGGCGAGCUUGUGACUUUCAUCAUCUCCAUUGCCUGAUUAAGAGAGUGAAAAGAAAGGGGAACGAAAAGAGAAGAAAAGAAAAAAAACUGUUAAUACUGUGAAAUGAUUACUCAACUCUUUAAGUUUACGAUCUAUUAUUAAUUUGUACAUAGACUUAUUCAGUAAAAUCACAGGAUUAAUAUAUUAUAGAUGUGUGUCACGGAUGACAAAUGAUGCAUAGUAACUAAUAAAAUUUCUCGCAAGGAGUGCCUUUUCGUAAUGUAAGUUUCAGACACCUGAAAGCUAAACAUGAAUUGCCUGGCCUUCUUGCUCACUUGAACAUUCGGAUGAGACUGGAGCUUCUCAUACAUGACCCUAGCUUCAUUUGGCCUGUCAAUGUAAGAGUGCGACAAAAAACAGAGGGAUAAAAGGGGAUCAGCAGUAACUGCCUUGGCCAAUAGGAAGGAAUAUUAAGUAAAUGUUGCACAGCGAUAGCCAUAAACCCAGUUUCGCUUAUUGGCAAGAGCCGCCUAUGAAUUUAAACCAAGUAACUGGAUAAAUACGAUUGGUGACAUUUAGUUGUGCAAAACCAAUUCAAAUUGUUAGUGCUAUUCAAAUAAGAAUAAUUAAGUGGGGCAAAUGAUGACGGAAGCCAAAAAAAGGGUGAAUUGAUGGCAAAGAGCAAUACCUGCUGAGUGAAUCUUGACAUACAGACCACUGCAAAGCAGCCAUUCCGUGAAGCUCGCUCUACAUUCCAUUUAGUCAAUAUCAGAAUAAAAGAGAAGAGACAAGCAGGACAAGUUGAAUACUUGCAUAGAAAUAAAACAAAAUGUUACACGGCACAUUUCAGGAAUACUAGUUGGAUCUCACAUCCAAAAAGCUUGUACGUACAAGGAGCAGAUACAGUAAGAAUUAAGAUUAAUGAUGUAUCACCUCCAUGAGAGUAUAUAUAUUAAGAAAAGAAGAUACUAGCAUAUGAGAAAAUGCCCUUAUCAUACUAUAAUAAUCAGAAGUGGUGCAAAAAAUAAAAAAAGAUUAUUCCAAUUAUUAUAUUAUGCCUCAAAUCAAUCAAAACAAUGCAAUUUCAAGAAAAAUGAGUCCUUCGGAUAUGCAAAACAAGAGUACCUGAAAGACCAAAUCCUUCAUUACUUUCUCAUAAAAAGGUAGUGCUUCUCUGAGCUUUCCAACACCCAUCAACUUAUCACCUUCCUUCAGAGCCUAUGGGAUGCAGAAAUUUUAAAGCCAUUUGUUUUAAACCAUAUUGUUCAAUUAUAUCUACAAGCAAAAGAUGCCUAAAUUAAGAAAUGCACAGGUACAAUAUCUUACUUUAGAGGAUAAAGAAGCAUAUAGCACGCAACUGUAUAAAUUGAAUCUUCCAUCAUCAAUUGUAUAGCCAAACAAUUUGCAGGUUCUAGAAGCAAGAUUCAAUUCACAAGCUUCAAAAGAAAUUUCUUAGGUUAUCAGAAUUACUGCAAGAGUUAUCUCUGAAGGCUUCACAAUCUUGAAAAUGAGCAAAAGAUGAAAUGACUUUCUCCUAAUUGAUAAAGAUAGCCAGCCCAACAAUAUGGGAUAUCCAUCAUGGACAUACUCAUUUGGUUUAAAGCACCAUAAAGACAAAAACGCCACAGAUGUCACAUCCAAACAGUUUUAUCUAUGAAAGAAGCACUACUUUUACAUUGAUCAUAGCGAAGAUAUGCUAAACCUAUAAUUACAACAAUUAAAUAAACUCUAAUUAAAAUUAUUAACUUGGAUUUUGUCAAAUGUGACCUUGAAUUAGUGGAAGUUCAAUAUCUGACAGUACUAAGCCGCAAAUCCUAAUGAUCUACAAAACUAUCUGAAAACAUAUUUUCUUAUUCAAACUAUCUAAAAUGUUACUCCAUCAGCAACAAGCUUUUCAUUAUAGUAUAUUAACACCAAUCUUUUCUCCAGAAUUGGUGCCAAAUCACAUCAAGCAGCGAAAAGCUAGUGUACAAUCACUGUUCAUAUUUAGAAUUGUGUGAGAACAAAAGAUCUGAUUUAAGGUUACAUAUGCCAAAAAUUUGGCAAACCAUAAGUCGUGUAUGGAUACAUCAAGUAACUACAAAUUAGAAAGCAUUGUAUGUUAUUCACAUAUACCUUUUCACACGCAGCUUUUAUUUUUGGAUCUAUUGUCAAGCCCAUCUUACUUUUAUAAGCAGCAAUAAAUUCUUCUGUACGCUUUUCCUUUUUUGCUCUAUCCUCAGCUGCUUCAAGCACUUGCCCAGGCUGAAUAUUUCUUCCACCACCAUACUAACAACGAAAGGAAAAAGAAAAAAAUAUUAGAACUUUUUAAAUAAAUGAUGCGAAACUAAACUACAACAUGGUAUGUUGAAGGACCAGAAUGGCUGUAUCAUAAUGGUCAUCAUCAUCCAGGCAUAGUCCCAACAAUACAAGCUUUACAAUGUAGCAGAAUCAAAGUUGUGAAAAGCCUCCAAAAGGAUAAAUGCCAAGAGAAAAGUUAUAUAGAUUACUAUUAAUGUUGAGUAAGUACAAAAACAAUAUGUUACAAGUUACAACAGAUAGGCAAGAAUAGAUGCAAUCAAAACCAUUUGUUCUCCCAAAACUUUCCAGCCAACUAGCUAUACAAAAAGUAAGGUGAGCUUGCAACAGUCCAACAAAGAAGCUUUGGUAACCCAAGUAUCAGGGCUGUGCCUUUGAGAAUUUCCAUCCGUGCUAGGGAAUCAUAAUUUAUCCAAAUUUGAGGAUAAGAACUCCUAAAGGCCUAUGACAAAGUUUUGCAAAAGGUUCUGUUAAAAGAGCAUGGCCAUUGAGAAUGCCAUUUACUGAGGCAGUUUUCUGGGUUUUCACUAGUUUGUAUGCAAAUUGCUUGGCUAGCUUAAAUGGAAAUUUUCAUGUCAGAGACAGUAAACAUCUUAUAAUUUUGGCAAUUUACGCAAGCAUCUAAUAAUUUGAAGAGAUAAGUGUUUUGUAAAAAGAUCACACUGAUUAUUUGUGCACAACAUAAGAAGUACACGGGAUGAAACAUACUAGAGUUCUGGUGGGAUAGUAUAUAUUAAAUCAUGCUCUAUAUCUCGCUCUUUAACUUUACCUAUCUUGGAAUACAAUAUCCUAAUAUAAAUCAAAAUUGCAAAUCGAGAUUAACUUACUAUAGAAAUGACAACCUUACAUGCCGGGGAGAGAGAAUUGAUAUAAAGGACUAGAUUAUUGCUGUCCUGUUUCGUGUACAAUACUAACGAAAAGAACUUAGUAAAAUGGAAACAAUCCGACCAAUUAUUAUUUAAAGAAAGAAUCAGAAAGAAGGAAGAUCACUAGGAAAUAAAAAGUUAAAGAAUAGAUUCAACAAAGAAUAUGUUUUGCAUCAUACCGUCUUCGAGAUGUUGCCAGGCCUUGGAAAAACACCCCAGGUAGAAACUUUGGGCUUGUACAAUCCUGUGUUGUCAUCUUUUUCUGAGUCUGUCACUUUUGAUGGUGCAGUGUUUUCAAACUUAGUCGAAUCCCCAACAAUAAUCUCUACUUCACGCACAUCUCCAUCCGUAAAAGGAUCUACGAUGGGAGCCAAGCCAGGCGGCGCACCUCUAUAUCUUUUCUUCUCAGAAAAUUCAAGCCCCAAAAAGUCAAUUUUGGAAAUCUUUGACUCUUCCUUCUUACUAACCUUCUUAUCGACACGACCAUCCGCUGAUAUACUUGAAGUCUGCAGUUCUUGACCUAUAAUAUACAAUUAUUUCCAUAACAGUUGCUGAUGAUGACUUAAUCAAUGAACAAGAACAGACAUUUUAGGGGGGGAAAAACAGACGUAACUUUCUACUUAGUAACUAAAGCAGUCUUAUUCUUUCCGACGAUAAAGAAAAUGACACGAAAACCAUCAUUCAGUAGCACUGCUUUUGAAUACACAAAAUAAUUCUUCUCUUCUUUUGGCAAUGUAGUGGCUUUGCGGAGUGCAAAAAGAUCUAAGUACCGCAUUGCAUUUUAGAAGGUUAAAGUGUGGGCCUGCGUUUUGCAUCAUUUAAGGUUCACUACUUUAGUAAUGAUGCCCUUCAUAUUCACAACUCACAAGCGCCACUAUUUUCUUACAAAUUUAUGCUUAUUAAGAAAAGGAAGUUAAAACCAUGAUAUAGCAAACAUAAUUGGAAGCUCAGAAGAUCUCCCAGAUAUCUCAAUUAAUCAGUAAAAUUGAUCUCCAAAGUAAAGAUUUUUGAACUCCCAUACAUCUCAAUUAAUCAGUCAAUUGAUCUCCGAAGUAUAGAAACAUGAAAAACUCAAAAAUGCACGUGUACGUGAAUUCAAUUCAAAGAGAAACAACCCACAAUGCUCAUCUUCUUUUCUUUUCUUUUUGUUUUUCUUCACUAAGCUUUGUAGAUCCCAAACUGCCAUUCCAAAUGUAUACCACAUAAAUUGGAAACUACCGAUAAAUAUAAAAAAUUUAAGUACGAUAUCUACAAAUCAAACCAAAAACAAAACUACCAUGAAACACCAAAUUCCCAAUCUCAUCAAGAGCUCAAUCAGUAAGAUAAUCUCACAGUGAUCAAAAUGUACCCGAAUUUGUAGUUAAUUUCUCAACAGAAGCAUCUCCACCCCCAUUGGUGGCCCCUUUGCUAGUCUUGUACUCCCUCGCCCUCUCCAUGGCGAGCUUCGCCGUAUCCGGGGCCUCCGCCUCCUUCCCACCACCACCAUCGCCUCCAUUGCUCCGAUUCAGAGCUAGGGUUUGCUCCUGGGUUUGUGCAGCGCUUGAAAUCUUCGCCUUCUUAUAAGCCGCGGCUUUGGCGAACGCGAGCUUCAGCGGGUCAGGAGGGGCUUCCUCGGGCGGGCCUCCUCCUCCGCCGCCCCCCUCCGGCGCCGCCGCGGCGGCGGCGGCGGCGGGGGAGGAGGGUUUGAAGGGUUUGGAGCUUCGCGAAGGGGCGAUUAGGGUUUUGGAGGAGUAGUUGGAGUGGUGUGGAGCGAAGCCCCAUGCGGGGUGUGGCAGGACAAAAGAGGCCAUCCGAUUUUGCAACGCACGGGGACGUAGAGAGAGAUAAUAAUAAGUAAACAUGCAUUCCACACCCUCAAGUGUAUUCGUUAUUGAAAUUAGCCCUUUUUGAAUAUUCUUUUUUUAACUCUUUGAUUGUCACUUUUUAUAAUUUUUAAAUUUAUUUUAAUUGCUCAAAUUUAAAAUUUUUUUUAAAUCUAUCUAUUAGUUGUUCUAUUUGAGCUUCCUAAAUAAAUAACUAAAAUUACAAUGGAAUAGUUGACAAAUUUGAAAAUAAUUUUAUUUUAUUUGAUUAUAAUUGCCAAAUUAUAAAUAAUUAAAAAAUUAAAAGUGAGUCAAAUGGGGACAAUAAUUUUGUGGGAAGCAAUCCUCAACUUGGAAGAGCCGUGGGGCAAUUAUUGAGUGGACCAGAUGCACGCCCGAGUUGCAACUUUUUUUUUUUUUUUUUUUGAGGAUUUAGAUUGUAAGCUUUAGGUUUUAGAUUUUAUUAUUAGGUAUUUAGAGUUUAGGGUUUGUUUAAUCUAUAAAUUUUAAGCUAAAACUCUAAAACUCUAAAUGCUAAAUCCUAAACUAGAAUCCUAAAUCAUAAAACCAUAAUACCUAAACCUUAAAUAUUAGAUGGGCGCCACGUGAUUGCUGUGUCACACGGCUCCUACUAGAGGAGGAAGUCUGAUGUAUUAUACUUUCAGCAUAUCAUUAUAACAGGCCAAUCACAUCACUUUUUUUGAAAAACAAAAUGAUAAAUUUUUUUUUUAUAAUCAUAAUGGAAAAGAUAAAUCAAUCUAAAAGGAAUCAUUUGAUUGAUUAGAAAUACUAUGUCACCAAUAUAACAGAUACAUUCUAUAAUUUUUUUUUUUUGUUUGAGAGUGGCCCCAAAGUAACUAAUUUGGAGCCACCCCCCAUAAAUUUGUCGUCCACUGAGGAAGUCAUUUAGAAUGGUCUUAGCGAGCGGUUUCUGUGCACUUUUUUAAAAAUUUGAAACAGUCUCAGCUUUUCAAUUUUAAGAAUGGAGCAAAUCUAUUUAAUUGGAUUGAAAUUUUAUAAAAACUAUUAUUUACUUCAUCAAACACUAACUUUAAUUAUGCCAUAGCAAAUGAAAUAAGACUUUGUAAUAACUAAUAAAAUCAUGAAAGUACACAUUUCUGAAUAUAGCUUCUUAUAAUAAUCCAUAUAAAAUUAUGAGAACCAAAUGCGCAAUAUUGUUCCACUUUCACCAACAAUAUUCAAGUUGUUGGUUAUUUUCUUAUGAAAAAAAGGGUGCUAAAUUAAACUCAUUUUAAGAGGUUAAUUGCUUUGAUUUUGUUUCGGUACUGAUAAUAGUGAGAGUAAAAAAAUAAAUAGAACAGAUACAUUGAAUCUGCGAAAUUUUGCACCACAUUAAUGCCAAUGAUUCUCUUUUUAAAGUGCUCUCUCUCUCUCUCUCUCUCAUUUUGCACCGCAUAGAGUUGAUAUAUAUUCUCUUUGUGGUGUUAAUGGGGUAUCCCCUAGUCAUACGAACUAAUGGAACUAAUAAUAGUAAAAUGUUUCCUCGAUGGAUACGAUGACAUAAUGAUAAAUAAAAGUAAACAAUUAUUAUUAUUAUUAUUAUUUGUAACAAUAAUGGUAAUAAUAAUGACGAUGAUAAUAUUGGCGAAUGAAAUUAUUAUAGAAAUAAUAGUUGUCAUCAAUAGUUAAAAUGAAUUCAAUCUCAUCAAAUUCAAACUCUUAAUUUUUAAUUUUAAAUCCAAACUAAAUUUAUGCACUCUCAAAAGUAAAGAGGUUGUAGCCAAAUUGGCCUGCAUAAGUACUAAGAUUUGUGUGCCAAAAUCUCAUGUCGAUAUCACUCUGUUUGGCAUUAAAUUUGAAAUAAAACUUAAUAAAAUUUAGAUAAGAAAAUAUUCAAUUAAAUUCCUCAUAUGUCCAAUUAAACUAUACAUUUCAUGUAGGGGUGGCAAUCCAGCUCGCUGUUCGCAAGCUAAUUCGUGUUCGGCUCGAAAUGAGCUCGAGAUCGAAUCGAUUUGCUCGUUUACUAAAUGAGCCGAACACGAGCUGGAUUUUUCAGCUCGUUUAAUAAAUGAGCCGAACACGAGCUGGAGCCAGCUCACUCGUGUUCAGUUCGAUAACAGCUCGAAUACAUAUAUUUUAUAUUUAUAUAAUUUAUAUAAUUUAUAUUUUUAUAUAUAAAUAAAUAAUUAUAUAUAAUAUAUUUUUUAUUAUUUAAAUUUUAGCAAAAUAAAAAUAUAAAUACGAGCUUAAUUAUAAAAAGAAUUAUUUAUAUGUAAAGUUUCAACUAUUAGAUAAAAAUCUAAUGGAUAAGAUUUUAUAAAUUUAUUUUUUACAUAUAUUUAAUUUAAUUUUUUUUAAUUUAUUGUUCGUUGGCUAGCUUUAAUUAAUGAGCCAGCUCGUGUUCGAACGUGAGCCGACCCCAGCUCACUCGUGUUCGACGCGUUUACACCCCUAAUUUCACGUGAAAUGUACACGUAGCAAUAAUUUCUCAUUUAGAAUUAUAUAUUUGUAUUAUAAAUGAUCACGUCUCCAAACAAGAACUUAGGCCCACGCUAACUAUUACACGAUAAAUUAGCACAAUAUAGCUCCUUAUGUAUCACAUCAAAUAAGUAAAUAUUGAUUCUGCCUUCAUACAUAUCGGUCAAAUUAAGACUUCGUUUGGGAUUGCGGGAAAAUUACGUUUCAUGCAGUGAAAAGCGAUGAUAGAAAAAUAUCUUGUUUCCGUACGUAAUAUUGCGUUCCGUAUAUUACGGUUAGUCGGUUACGAUAUAUUUUUUACGGUCCCAUCGGAGAACGCAGAAGCACAUAGGAAUAUAUUUUUUCUCAACUCCAUUCUAUCUAAUAGCGUUAGAUCAACCUCAAUACCAAACUAAGCCUAAGUUUGGAUCUAAGAAGCGGAUUGAGUUUCUAUAUCUUUAUGAGUUCGAGUUUUGGGUUCCACCGCCGCGAUAUUUGAAUACCGAACAGGAUUUGGAUUCGGAUGGUAAUCCUAAUAACCUAUACAAGAUCUAGUUUUGGAUCCGACGAAUUCGGAUCCGAAUUCGAAUUGAAUCCGAAUCCGAUAGUGUCACGGGAUCAGCCACGUCGCGCUUGCAAAGAAAGCUAAAGCAACCGCGUGCAUUUCGUCUCCUUUAUUUUUUGUUGGGUUCACGUUCUCCCUCGCUUCACGUCUCGGACGUGAAGCGUUGAAUUUCCACCGCUUCUUUUCCGAGGACUUUUGCUUUGGUGCGUCCACGUGUACCCCGAGUGUCCAUCGUUCAUUGAUUACUAAAUUGGAUUGGUGAAAUUUUCUAACAAGCCCCCUUACUUAUCGACUAUUUGAUAGUUGUGAAAUGAAAAUUUAUGUCUAUGUCCAGAAAAAAUGCAAAUAUAAUUUGUGAUAAUUCAAAAUAAGUGUUUUCAUCACUACAUUAUCUUGUGGACUGUUUUUAAAGAAUAAGUAUUUUUAAAAAAAGAGACAUCGAUGCUGAUAUCAAUAUGAAAAACUAUAAUUAAGUUUUUAAUUAACUGCACUAAAUUACACUUUUGGUCCUCAAAAUUACGAGCCUCGUGACAGUUUGAUUCUUAAAUUUUAAUUCGUUUUAGUUUUUUGAAUCAAAAUUUAUAAAUUAUUGCAAUAAGUAUUAUAAUAAUUUACGUGAUUAAGUAUUAAUAUGUUGCUAACGUAGAAAUGAUAUAGCAGCAUUAUGAUUCAUAAUAAUGAUAGGAUAAUAAUUAAGUAAUCGCAUUACUUCGACAUCAGUAAAAUAUUAAUAUUUAGUCAAUUAAAUUGUAUUGUCAGUCUUAAUUGCAAUAAUUUAUAAAAAUUGAGCUAAAAAUUAUAGUAGAUUAAAAUUUACAGACCAAGAUGUCAUAUGUCUUAUAGUUUAAGGAUCAAACAUGUAAUUUAGCCUAAUAUUAACUGCGACCAAAUUGGAAUUAGGGGACACAGGGUGGUACAGUUGGUGUACUUACUCCCAUUAAUCCUAUUGAUAAAGACGCGUGAGAUCGUUUUCUUUAUAGUAAAAGUCUAAAAUAAAUUCAAUUUUUUUAAAAAAAUAAAAAUUAAUUUUUAAAAUAAAUAUAAAAAUUAAGGCGAAAUUAUAGCAAAUCUUUAUAUCAAUACCCGCUCUUUCACUUCUUCUCCUGUUAUUUAAAAACGUACACUUUACUUUUUUAAAAGAUAUAAAAUAUUCACUUUGAUUUUUACUGUCAGUGUUCGUUUAUAGUUUAUUUUUUAUAUCUAAAAUAUUUCUGAAAUCUUCCUUCUUUCUCAUUUUCGACCGCACCGCCUCAUCCGUCUAACUUUCUGUCCAUACCCACAGAUACGCCCUCGCUUGCCUCCGCCGCCUUGCUCUCGUCCUAGCCCACCUCUUCGUCCAUAUCUAUUCAGAAAAAGAUGAUAGGUAAUUUGUUCAAUUUAUCACAGUAUAUUUCUAUAAAUAUUUUUUUAUUUUUUUAAAGUAAAAUGUAAAUUUUUGAAAAAAAAAAUUAAUAAUACAGUCAUCAAGCUUUUUUCCCGGGCUUUUUUUGCAAAUAGCCCCCUGAGCAAUUUUUAUUUUAAAAAUAGUCAUAUCAAAAUUAAAAUUACAAAAAUGGCCCUAUUCCUGCCACGCAGGCGCCACGUCAGCGCCACGCGGACACGGUGAAUAGUUCACCGUGUUUAGUACGUAUUUUUUUCUAUAUUAAAAAGUGGAAUAAAGAAUUAGGAUGUCAAUAGGUAUGGAUAUCCGAAAUAUUAUCCGAAUACAAACCCGAAUAAAUUAUAUAUAAAUAUGUAAUUUAUUUUUGUUUAUUUAUACAAUAUAUAAAAUAUUUAAUAAUUUUUAGUCCUUAAAUCUUUAUCGAGCGGUAUAGAUUUUUAAAACCCGCUGGAUUGGAUGAAGAUAUAAGGAAUAAAAGUUAUUAAAUAUUUUAUAUAUUAUAUAAAUAAAUAAAAAUAAAUUAUGUAUAUAUAUAAUUUAUUCGGGUUUGGAUUCGGAUAAUAUUUCGGAUAUACAUACUUAUUGACAUCUCUAUUCCUUAUUCCUCUUUUCAAUAUAUAAAAAAUACAUACUAAAUACGGUGAAUCAUUCACCGUGUUUGAACACGGUGAAUAGUUUACUGUAUUCAACUUAACACACGAGUCCGAUCCUGCCCGCGUGGCGUUGACGUGGCGUCUACGUGACGGACUCAGAACCAUUUUUGUAAAUUAAAUUUUGACAGGACUAUUUUUAAAAUAAAAAUUUCUCAGGAUCUAAAUGCAAAAAAACCCCUUUUUUCCGUGUUUUUGCCCGGAUCUCACGCAACGGUCGUGGGCCCCAGCCCGGCACGUCUGUUGUUUGGCGCCCAUUUGCAAGUACCCGUUGCAAGGUGAGUCUCUGGCGCGGGCCCCACCGUUCUCGUUUCCCAUCCCCAACCUCGUUUCACGCGCUUUCGUAUCGCAUGAUAGCGUUUCCCCAUGGUCCGCAGGUUCGUUUGCCCGCACGGAGUGAGUUCGUUAUGAGGCGGUGGAGGCACCGACUCCACCCAAUCCUCUAUAACUCGGACGGUUUAAUUUUGUUUUUGCCCUCCACAUAAUAAUGCGGGAGCAGCAAAAUGCUAUUCAUAUAAUCUUAUUUGACACUUUAAUCAAGAGUUUAAAUGCCGUGAUAUACGGAAUCGUGUCAAAAAUUUAUCGACAUAGUACGGCAUGAUGCGUGCCGAGUCGUGCCGAUGCGUGCCGAUCAAAAAUAUUUUUAUGUACCUGACACAUAAUAGUAAUGAAUAUUUAUUUUCUUUCGCAACAAAAUAUUCUAACUAUUUAUUAUAUCUUUUUAUCACAUUUUUUGAACUUUAUCGAGAAAACUAUUUACUUAUUUAAAGAAUAGAGGGUUUUGAGCUGUGUCAUCGGUACGGGGUCUGUAUUGUGCCGAUAUUUUGUUGGCACGGUACGACACGGUAGAUACAGCCCGUGCCGAUGGGCACUUAAAACCAUGACUUUAAUAUACUAUGGUUUAGUUUAGUAUUGAGACCUAUCAAACGCUAUUAAAUAAAAUGAAGUUAAGAAAAAAUCAUAUAGGGUUAUAGGAAUAUGCUUCUUCGUUCUCCGGUGGGACCGCGCAGAAAAUAUAUCCUAACCAACUCAUUGUGAUAUGUGGAACACAAUAUUACGUACGGAAACAAACAAGAUAUUUUUCCAACGUACUUUUUUACCGCACAUAACGCAAUCUCCCCACAAUCCCAAACGAAACCUACAUAUAAUUAAAAAAAUUUAUCAGACCAUAUAUAAAAUGAUCAAUAAAAGAAAUUUCAUUCAUCGAAUCAAAUAGUUACAUAUAAUUUAUUAUUAUUAUUAUUAUUUCAAAUAAAAUUUAAUUAGAUUUUUAUUAAAUUUAGCGGUUAAAUUGGAUAAAAAUAGAUGCGGAUGAAAUUAGUUAAAUCAAUAUAAUAGAAUCAAUUAAAUAUCGAGAUGCAGUAUAAUAAGUAGAAUAUUCUAAUUUAGUUUAAUAUAUAAUAAUUAUACAGUUUAGUUUGUUAAUUUUUUAAAAAAUUGUAAAUAUAUUUAAAUAUAGAAAUAUAAUUGACGUAAUUUAAUAUCUGAUCUGAGAGUAAAUGAUACAUGGCUAGGAGCGUAGUAGAUGAUUUUUUUUCGUUUUACUAAAAAUGGAAUCAAACUCUAAAAAUUGAAAGGCGCGGGGUAACCUUACCGCGAAGUACCCUCACCUCCUCCGAACCCUCCUCUCUCUCUCUCUCUCUCUCUCUCUCUCUCUAACUCCCUAUAAAUUCUCGCCUAUUUUCAGCAAAUUUCCUUAAAAUAAUAAUGGAAAGGAAAACGAAGAAUUUGUAGCUAUUUUUAGCCGAUAUUCGUUUCCCCAUCGCAGCAGCAACUGCAACACCAACGAAGGAGCGCGAGAGAGGGAGAGAGAGAGAAAACCCUACCUCCCCCUCACCUCUCUCUGUUUCUCUCUUCUCCUCCGAUCCCAUGGGCAAGAUCCGAUCCCUCUUCCGUCGCCGCGCCAGCUCCAAGCCCUCUUCGCCGACGACGGCGUCGGCGUCGGCGGCGGCGGCGACGGCGAGUCCGACGUCGCCGAGAUCGCCCACGGCGACGGCGACGGCGACGGCGGCGGCGGCGGCGGCGGAGGAGGAGCUGGAGCGGGUGUUCAGGAAGUUCGACUCGAACGGCGAUGGGCGCAUCUCGCGGUCGGAGCUCGCGGCGAUCUUCGAGAGCCUGGGGCACCCGGCGACGGAGGAGGAACUGGAGCGGAUGAUGUCGGAGGCGGACGCGGACGGGGACGGGUUCAUCAGCCUCGCCGAGUUCGCGGAGCUCAACGCGAGCGCCGCGGGAGACGCCGCCGCCGUGGAGGAGGACCUGCGCCACGCCUUCUCCGUCUUCGACCUCGACCGCAACGGCUCCAUCUCCGCCGACGAGCUCGCCCGCGUCCUCCGCGGGCUCGGCGAGGCCGCGUCCGUCGCGCAGUGCCGCCGCAUGAUCGACGGGGUCGACCGCGACGGCGACGGCCUCGUCUCCUUCGAGGAGUUCAAGGUCAUGAUGGCCAACGGCUCCUCCUCCGCCGCCGCCGCCAUCGCCGGCCUCGCCAAGAUCGGGUGAUCCCCCUCUCCCGCAAACCCUAACCCUACCUGAAUCAUACACACACAUGAUCUCGAUCGCUACUCUGCGUUUCUUCUUCUCUUUUAUUCACCUUUUUUUUUGUUCCUUCUUCUUCGUCGUGAAAUUGUUGAUUUCGCAUCUGGAGAAUCGGACUUCGAUUAAUGGGAUUUGAGUAAAUUGUAGAUAAUUGGGGUUUUUUUUUUUUAAAAAAAAGAUCGAACAAUUUGCUAACUAUAGUUCUUAAUUCCAAGCAAUAUGAUGCUGCUGUGUACUGUGAUUCUUAAAUUUUCUCUCUCUGUUUUUCCUUUUGUUUUAUUCACAUUUGUUUCAAUUUCGUGAGAGUGAUGGGAUCUUGUCCUCUUUUUCGUUUGCGUUAAUUCUUGGACACGAGAGGAGGAAUCUCGGUCCUCGGAUGCUUCCUGCUUGGUGCAGGUAGCGGGAAUGCAACAUUCCGCGCGACCUGGGCACUUUCUCCAAAAGUGCUUUUGGGAAUAGAGUCGAUUAAAAAAAAAAACAUUAAAAUAUAGGGAGAUAGAUCCCCUCAACUAUAGAAUUAUUGUACUCUAAUGUUUUGUUUUUUUUGUUUAUUUGAAUUAUUUCAAUUGGCUAAGUUAAAAUUUUGUUGAGUUCGAGAAUUUUGUUUGCUAUUUAUUACUAGUUAUUAAUUAUUCUAAAUUUAAUAGCUGUAAAAAAUGAUUAAAUCAAUUGAAACUCUAUUUUUACCCAAUAGAUUUGAUGAAAUUAUCAGCAAAUUUGAUAUUUUUUAAAUAAAAAAUAUGAAGCAACUAUAGUGCGGAUUGAAAUCUCGAAUACAAGUUAUCAAACUCUUUACCAACUGCUCUAGAAACUGUCGAUAAGAUGGAGAGUUAUUAAUAAUAAACAAAAUAGAGUUAAGAGAGUUAUUUCCGAAUAACCCGUAGUUAAAAGAGUUUUUCGCACAUUUUUACCUAAAUUUUUAUGUACUCAAUUAUCUUUUUCUAUAACAACUCGUAGCAUUAACCAUUUUAGCGAAGUAUCGUAUGAGAUUAGUGUGGGAGAUUCUAAAUUCUUAAAAACAAGUUUAGAAGGUGGGGUUUGUUUAGGGAGGUGCAAUCAAAACAACUUUUAGUAUUGACAAAAUUAUAUUGUAUCUAAUCAUGAUUUAAACUUUCUUAUUUUGGUAACAGUAAAUUUUGCACUGUAUAUAUUAAUUCUCUUUCGCUUUUUUUUUUGUGUGGGGACUCUCCUUUUCUUGUGGUGUUAGUAAUGUUAUGUUCUUCCAUUAGUUGUAUUAUUUAUAUUGUCGGGAUUUUUUUCAAAAUGUUAAUUCGAUUUGUACCAAAUUAAUUAAUCAAAGAAAGGAAAGUUAGAUGAACAUUCCAACCAUAAAAGCAGUAUCAUUUGUUAAUUUACUUAGCUUGGUCACAAAGCACCAUUAAUUCCAGCUUAACCUGGCUGGUUUCAAGUGCUUAUUUAAACUCUUUUUUUUUUUUUUUUUUAAGUUGUUGUUGAUUAGAUCUCUUAUAAUCAAUAUAAUUUAAUGAAGGCUAAGCUAAAUUAUAGAAAAAUUCUUUGUAAAUAUUUCUUUUUUUCAUCCUGACUUUCAAAGAUAAACUUAUAUUUUAUUCUUUAAAAUUUUAGAAAAGAAUACAACAUUAAUGGUGAGGCAAGCAAAAUGGUAAAAUUAUAUUUACUUUUUCUAUAAAAAAAUAAAAUUUUAAUAUGUUUUUAUUUUUUUGAAGAUAUUUUCGAUGUAAAUCAUAAAUUAAAAAAUUAUAAAGAAAAAAAAUAAAAAAAUAAAAAAUUUCUAUAAUCUAGCUUUUAAUGAAAUGAUAUUUCAAAGAGACCAAUCAUGGGUUAAAUAGAUUCGAAUCGAUGUGAAACCUAUAAUCAUUUUAUACAGCAUUAUAUACUAUUCAAGGUGGAAUAUUCGCUGGCACUUAUCAGAAAUUAUGUGUUAAAAGCUGACAAACUGUCAUCCAACAUGGAUAACAGACUUGACUAAUGUCCUCCAACAUGGUUGUGACUGAACUUGAACACAAAAUACCAAAAAUGUGCAGAUCAGAUUAAAAAUAUCUGCGUUUGGUAUGCAGGAUAUUUUGGAACAACAUAGGAUAUUUUCGAAGUUGUAAUCAAACAGUAGAAGCACAGGAGGGAACAGAUUGUUCCGAUCAAAGCGGAUUGUUCUGGAUUAUUCUGGAACAAUCCGUUAAAAAUUAUUCCUAGAAAAACUGUGAACAACUUUAUUCUUCUCUUUAUUUUAUUAGAUAAAUAGAUAUAUAAAUAAAUAUAUUAAUAUAAAUAUUAUUUUUAUAAUAAUAUAUUUAUACUUAAAUUUUAUUAUAUAAUAUAAAUUAAUUAAAUUUGAUAUAUUAUUUAUUUUAUUAAGUUUUAUUAUUUAAAUAUUAAUAUUUAAUUAUUUUAUUUUAUAUUAAUUAUUAUAUAUAUAAUUAUUUUUUUAUGCAUUAUAUAUUUUUUUAAUUUAUAUUGAAAUUUAUACUAUUAUUAAUUAAAAUUAUAAGGAUAUCGUUACGUAUGUUAUGAAUUAAUUAUAUAAAAUAAAUUAUUAUUAUAUAUAGUAGAAUAAAUAUACUAUAAAUAUACUAUUUUAAAUUAAAUUGUUACAUAAAAUAUUAUAUUAUAAAUUACUAUAAAAAAUAAUUUUAUAUAAAAUAUACUAAUACAAAUUCAUUAUUUUACUUUUUAAAUUAUAUUUAGACAUUAUUCUACACUUUUUAUCCAAACGCUACUAAGAAUAUCCUCUAAAAUAUUUUCGAAUGCACCCAAAUAUAAAUUUACAAUUGUUCUAUCUUAUAUUGGAAUAUCCUCUGUUUCCGAGAACAACAAAAAUUGUUCUCCAAAAUUUAGUUCUCUAACCAAACGCAGCCGAAAAGGCCCAGCUCAAAACAUAACUAGAGCUAAAUGUAGUUAGUUUUGUGGCUGAGUAGUUUAAAUAAUAAGGAUUCAUUUGGUUCGCAUUAUAUAGUAUUACUGAUUAUCUUAACAUAACUAAUGAUUUUAUAUUUAUUGUUCAGAUUACUAUUGAUCUUUAUAUUAUUACUUGCAUCCAAUAAUUUGCAGCACUUUCUUUUUCUUUUAAAAAAAGUUUUUAAACUUGUUUUUCAUUUGAACUGAGCUCCUACGGAAGGAGCUACAGGUGGGUGCUGUGCAUCAGGCAUUCCGUUAUCAUAUUUUGUCUCAUUUCAACUUUCAAUUUAGAUAUUUCUCAAAAAAAAAGAGCACUUUCAAUUUAGAUCAUUAAAAGAGAAAAAUUCAAUUUUAAGAUGAUUUAAAUUAAAAGUGGAAAUAAGUUAGAUGAAUAAAAUUUUUAUAAAUAAUUCGGUAGUGCAUCCUUUGUUCCAACCAAAGCGCAAAGCCACUCUCGUUUCCUUGUAUUCUUUUUUAUGUGGACUAAAAUAUCCUAUCAAAAAGGAGGGAGUCUACUAUACACCACUACAUCACGUUAUUUAUAUUCAAUCAAUCACAUUUAUUUUUUUUAAAAUAUAUGAUAAAAAUAUUUUUUUCAAAAUCAUGAUUGGACAGGUGAAUUCCACAGAAGUAAUUUAAUUUUUUGGAGACACAAUAUCAGUAAUAUGAGUGCUGCAUCCUAGAUUUUUUUUUUCAUUAAAAAGGUUUUACUUUUCAUGGAAACUGACUACAAAAUAGGAAUGCAAAUGGAUCUGAGUUUAUAGAGCUUCUACUUUAAUUCACUCAGAAUAAAAAAAUAAUCAAGAGUUAGGGAAAAAGAAGAAAAAAAAAAAAAGCCUGCUCCGAAUGAGUCUUGAUUCGCGAAAUAGAACUGUUGGUGGAUCGAUCCCUUCCACCUCUCGAUUCGCUUCUCUCCUGAUAUAAAAAAAUUUACUAUUUUCUAACUUGUCUCUAUAAUAGGAUAAUAAGUCAGUGCGAAAAAUAAUAAUAAAAAUAAAUAAUCUGCCAUGAACCCACUCCUACCUGGUGAAAAAAAAUCCAAACAAAGGUAGGGGACUGUACCUAUGCCCGAUCAUCUGCCUUAUACAUAAAAAAUUUUAAAAUACAUCAGUUAUAUUAAUAACAGAGUAUUUUCAACUAGUCAAAUAAAUUAUUUUAAAUUAAUCUAGCAUAUCAUAAUUCAAAAAAAAUUAUUAUAUAUAUUUUUUAAAAAAUAUGAUUAAUCUAUUAUUGCUGCUUAUGAUGCAAAUAUGAUACAAUAGAUUAAGAUAUAAUAUCCACCGUUUCUAGAACAAAUGGCAAAAGGCUUGAUGAUUUGUACCCCGGAUUCAAGUUCAAAUUUCAAUUAAUUUAUAUUUUCAACUAAAUUUAUUUAUAAAUAAAAUAAAUAAAACGGAUAGCGUUUUACGUAUCUCUCGAAAAAAAAAACAAUAGCUGGUAAACUUUACCAGAUCAGAGAACCCCACUUUUUCCAAUUUUCCUCUUUUAACUCCAAGAGCGAGAGAGAGACAGAGAGAGAGAGAGAGAGAGAGAGAGAGGAGAGGAUUAUGGAUCUCUCGGGCUUAUCUUUCCAAAAAUUCGUCGACUUCGCUCUCGACCACACCAGACUCCGCACCACCCUCACCCCUCAUCUCCCCUCCCAGGUCACUCUCUUUCUCUCUCUUCUCAUAUGCUUCAAUCUCUUUAAACGCCUUUUUUUCAGGAGAAAUUUUGUAUAAUAAUUAUCUCAUUUAUCGCAUCACCUCUGUUUUCUAAAUUUUUUUUUUUUUUUUUUUUUUUUUUUUUUUUUUUUUUUUUUUUUUUUUUUUUUUUGUGUGUGUGUGUGUUUUGUUUUGCUUAGAAGUUCAAAUCCAUCAAGGCCAAAGACGGCAACAAGGCCGUUCUCACCGCGCUUUCAUUCCAGUCCCCCAAAAUUAGACUCCUCCGCAGUUUGGCGAUCGCAGAUGAUAAUGCGAUGCGGGUAAGCCUAAAACACCAUUUUUUUCCCCAUUUGAUCUGAAGAUUAGUCCUACAUGUAACCUAUAAUAUAAUAGGGCUAAACUCUUAACUGGGCUUAAAUAUUUUGGGCGGUGGUUAGACCCAAGAGGUUAAGAGAUGUAGUAGAACGAGAGUAGUCCUAGCAUGGGUGACCUCCUGAGAAGUCGGGGCAUUACAGUAAACCCACGAGAACUCUUCUAUUUAUUGAUGCUCUUAGCAUUCCCACUAUAUUUCAAAAUUGGUGGUGAUCUCGACAGGUUCUCGACUUCGGAGUAUUCCCUGAACCGGAGUACGAUCUGCCGAUAUUUUGCGCCAACUUUUUCGCCACCGCUAGUCGGAGUAUCGUGGUUUUGUAAGUUUCAUCACCUCAAUGAGCUGAUAUUUAUCAAUUUGAUGCCUCUUUAUCAAUAAAUUAAUGCUGCUAGAAGAUGAAUUAUUAUUCAGUGUGUUUUCUUUCUCUUGCUUAUUAGAAUCUUCAUAAAGUAGUUUAUUUGGGGGUUUGUAGGGACCUUAACCCCUUGUAUGAUGUCACUGUACAAAGGGAUUACAAGGAGAAGUACUUUAAGAAGUUAAUGCCCCUCGGCCAGAAGUACGCCGAGGUAUCAAAAUCCUUCUUUUGCUACCGAGCACGCGCUCGCUAUGUUCGUAGAGUGUUACUAUUUUUAGCUAGCUUCGUGUUUUUAAUAGAGAGAAUGCAGCUUUUCCCAUGGGGAGGCAAGAUUACGAGCGAGUCCAUGAAGUUUUUCUCGCCAAUCGUGAUUUGGACUACGUUCAGCACUAGCCGCGACAAGCAUGAUGACCUAUAUUCAGCUUUCGUGGACUACUAUAAGGUACAGACUCGGUUACUUAUAUUUAGCACCGGCGAAAGUUCGUUCAUUACUGGGUUAAAUAUCGCGCUCAAACUUCUCGCUCCAGCUGUUUGAAACCAGGCGAGAAAAACCUCGUUGAUCCUGGAUUUCAACCGACUUUGAAAAGAUUACAUACUAGUCGUCGCGGAGUUUUGUAUAGCUGAGGCAUGCCAUUUGCAACAUUGACCUUAGAAGCCCAUAGUAUCUGUUACCGAUCUUUGAGUAGAUAAAUUUUAACUUCGGAUGUAAGCAUUAUCUGAAGAAAAUGUUAUUGUGUAAUUUCAGAGAAUCUUGUUUGGAUUGAGUUUAAGUUCCUUGGAUUGGAUUUAUGUCUUUGUUUUUUCUCCUUUUCUUUUCUUGUUUUAUCUCUUGCUACGCUUUGAGUUCUUUUACCCAUGUUCUAUUGAAAAAUGUUCAGAUAACUGUGAACCGUAUAUCAUUUCAAAUAUUUCUGGGACUGUAAAUGUUUGAGUAUUGGUACCUACAUUUUUCAUUGUUUUUGACUGCAGUAUGUGUCUGAACUUGCACAGGCAUGGCUUGAGUUGAUGGAUGAAGCAGUGGAAGAAAAAGAUGUGCCUCAGAUACUCCAUAAUCGUGAAGCACAGCACAAGUAUCUCACAUGGAGAGCAGAAAAGGUUCUUUUAAUUGCCGCUUCAACCUUGAAACCCAUAAUAAUUUUAUAAUAAGUGUCAUUUGCUCCCAAAUCUGGGAAGCGGUUCUCAGAAGAUAAAAGUCGCUGAAACUUCAGAGCAUUCAGAAUACUAAAUAUUUCAUUUACUCAUGCUUUUGUGGACAAUUAUCGGUUUCAAGUCCCCUCUUUAUGUUCAUUUCAUGAUUUUCCUGAUAAUUCUGUUCUCAAUAAUUUCAAUCUCCAUCAUCAAAUUGGCUUAUUAAUUUGUGAAAUUAUUUAAACUCAAUUUGUCUUCAAUAAUGUGUUACCUGGCUAACAUUUAGCCAUACAACAGGAUCCUGGAUAUCCACUCCUAAAGAAGCUGGUCGGAGAGAGUCUUGCUAAGGUACCUUUAUCAAUAUAUAUAUAUAUAUAUAUAUAUAUAUAUAUAUACAUAGAGAGAGAGAGAGAGAGAGAGAGAGAGAGAGAGAGAGAGAGAGAGAAAUACCUUUGUCAAUGUUGUGAGGAAGAGCAUAGGGCCUGUGUCUCCUGGCAGAAGCUUUUGAAAAAGUGUCGUUCGAGUAGAGCUGCACAAAAGAGCUAAUAACUUUUUGACUUAUUAGAAAUGAAUUAAUAACUUUUUCACAAAAGAUCGAAGCCUAGUUAUUUUACAUUUCCAACUAAGUUCAUUUCUUAAGAAAAAUGGAGGAAGCGAGUAGUAUGCUAUUUUUCUCCAAAAAAAGAAAACAUUUUCAUUUAUAUCACCAAACAAUAUUCUAUUAUAUUAGCAGUGGAAAUUUCAAAUUAAACUUUUCGCUUUUGGGCAUGAUAACUCAUUUAGCUUUCCACGACCUUUUGUUUCCAAAGGGCUCAAGAAUAGAUAAGUUAUUCUAAAAGCUAGGCCAAACAGGUGCAUUACUUUAUAUCUUUGUUUGCUCGUCGUUGCUUUCAACCUGUUGGCUUAUUGUGAUUGUCGAUGCAUUAGGAUUUGGUGCGGAACUUCUUAUUCGAAGGAGUUGACACACUGGGCACCAACACAUUUUUGGAUUACUUUCCUGAAUAUAGAUGCGAAGACGGGGGCGUAAACCAAAAGCGGAGUAUGAUCGGAAAGUCCUACGAAACUCGGCCAUGGGAUGCUAAAGGAGAAUUCACAGGUGGGUGAACUCACUUUGCUGUAAAAUUUUGCUCUUCGCAGUUUUGUACUGAUAUUGUGAUGCUUUGUCCCCGAUUUUUCGUAGAAGUUCUGUAGAUUAAAAGUCUCCAUGUUCUUCAUGUAAAGCCAUCUUCCCAUCUUGGUACCUUUUUAAUCUCUUUCGGCCCCUUUAUUGUUGGUAAUGUUUGUGGAAAAUUGUUAGCUUAUAAAAGAUGAGACAAUUGUGUCAAAUAAUGUUUAGGAGGCAUGCUGUAUUCUCAGCUGAUGAUUUACAUCUAUUGAUCUUAAAUUAUCAUAGUAGGGGUCAGAAAAUCCUUUAUGUUGGAUCAAUUUAUGUCAACACUGCUUAAGUUUGAUUUAAAUUUAUUUGCAAUGGCAAAUUGGCAACUUCUUAUUGCAAAUAAAGAGAUUUACAUAUCUACAGAAAAAUCAUGUACCUCUUAUGAGAAGUAAAAGUCAGAAAAAUGGAAUUAUAGUAGUCAACCAUGAAGUUUGGUUCAUCCAGGGGUUCAAUAAUAAAUAGAUUAAAAAGUAAAAAUGGGUUAGUUGAAGUAACUGGAAAUUUUGCUCAACUAUGUGGAUGCUUUUGCUUUUGAAGGUUCUAGAACCAGAUAUGUAGGAAAAUUAGGGCUAUUGUGAUCUUGUGUGGAUGCACCACCUAACAAUUUUUAGUUCCAUGUGCAAGUAAGACAAAAUGGUCCAACAUAAAAGACAAACUAAUAGGAGAAAAGACACUCUAAGUUUCAUCAUACCAAACUGUACUCCCUAAUCCUUGAAUCCUUGGGAAAAAAAAAAAAUGAUUCAAUUAAUUGUUUUGUAAGAGUGAAAUCACUUCACUGAAGCUAUACCAAAUGUGUUACUCAAAACCAGAUGAAAUUUAAGAUCUGUUGCGCGAAGUUGGAGCUUAUACAAAAGUGUUAUCCUCUUUGACAAAAUACAUUUUAUGUAGUCGAUUUUACGUAAAUGUUUUAUGCUACUCAAUUGAAUUUCUUUUUUCUUUUUUUUUCUUACCAUAGUGAAAACUUUUUGGAGUUUUAGCUUGUUGAAUAUUUUACUGUUAUUUUCCAACUCUUAAGCAUAGUAAGAUUAUUAUGCUUUUAAUUUUUGAAUCUUUUCUUAGUAAAUGGGACCACAUUAUCACGUGGGUUAAGGAGGAUAUACUUAAGAAUACGACAACAAGAUUUGUAGAACAGAGUACCAUAAUUAAUAAAUAAAUAGCUGUUUAAGAAAAGCUUGAUUUAAAGCAAGGAAUAAUAAUAAUAAAAAAAUCGAACCAUAGCUUAUAACAAGUGAUUAUUGCAAGGUUCAAUGGAUCCAUAGAUUUUAUACUCAUCUAUUGAUGGACUAUCCCUUUUCUCUUUUGUGUUCUGAUUAAACUAGUCAAAAGCUUGGACAAAGGCAUGUUCUUCAUUGAUAAUACAUUUUUACUCCUUUUCUUUUUCCUACUUGCCAAAAUAUUUUAUUAGUUUGGGAACAUAGUAAGUAGUUCUAAAGGCAAUAAGGCAUUGAUCACACAUGGAGCUUUGUGCCAACUACAUUAAUUAAUUAAUUAAUGACUUGGGAUAGUUGGCACCAAAGUUCUUUCUCCUGCUCCACAUCUAAAUUCAGUUAAAAAAUUUAUUGAACUAGUGACCGUAUCCAGUGCAGUUGAUUAAAAAUAAAAAUAUGAUCACGCGAAUCAUUCAAAAUUAUUUUGUAAUAAAGCUCAUUAAAGCAAAUGAUUAAUCAUUAAUCAAGUAACUUGCUUAUUAUGAUUUCACUUUUAUUUCUUCUUUUAACAACACAAACUUUAGAAAGAACUUGCAGGAAAAAGGAGGAGAAAAGGCUAGUGGUUUGGCAUCACUGUAAAUUGAAAUGGCAUUUUGAAUCUCAAACAAAGAAACUCUAUUGCAAAAUGAAACUACAGUAGUACUUUUAGCACAGUGCUUCUCAUAUUAUUACUUAAUGAAAUUAUACUAAACAACACGAUCAGUACAUGUAAUCGUAUAGUUACAUUAAACAGGCUCUUCAAAUACUUGGUCCAAAUCGUAUAAUACACAAAGAUUCCGAGAGAAUAUUCCAGUUCCAAUACGUGGCAACAAAACACGCGACAACAGCAAUAACAUAGAACGAACCGUAUCCAGAUUCUAGUUUUUUUUUUUUUUUUUUUUUUUUUUUUUUUUUUUUUUUGAAGUGAACAAGUAAAAUUUCUCUUAGUUGUAGCGCAAAAUGUGUGGAUAGUGACUCAAUUAUUCUCCUAUCGCAUUUGGACCCAAAGUACUUUCCGGUCAUUAUUUUAAACUUGGGGACUACAUACAAUGUAUAACUUUUGCAGGCUCUGUGUAAAAUUAGAGAGACGUGUUUUACUUAUUUUUGGUCUAAGAGUUUAUUUGGUUUACCUAUUUUAAAUCGUAAAAUUAGAAUGAAAUUUAUUAAUUUCAAUAAUUAGUGUGCCGAAAUUGAAUUUUGAUUUUCAUUUUACUCUGAAAUGGAAAUGAUCAAAUCUAGUUAUAGUCCUACACAGGUUUAAAUUCUGAUUUCAAAAUUCUCUCUAACAAACAUCUCUAUUUGCUCUUCAUUUAUUACUUUCCUCUCCCUUAAUAAAAAUUUUUUAGAAAAAUUCUGGAUGUUCCAUUUAUUCAUUUUGAUUUUUAUUUUAAUAAUAAAUUAAAUAUUUUUUGAUAAUUCGUAAUUUUAUUUUUCAUUUUAAUACAAUUCAAUUUUAUCUUUCAUUCUUAUUUCAAUCAUGAACCAAAUAUGUCUCAAUUGUUUAUGGCUAGUUUAUACGGAGUGUAAUAUAAAGAUAUUGCGAGGACUAUUUAUACAUUAUCCCCCUAUGUUUAUGAUUUUGUAUUUUUGUAUUUGUUUAUUGCAGCAAACGGACAACGACUUUGGCGCGUUGAGCUACGAAUUUUUUGUUUUAUGUCGAUGUUAUUGGAUUUAAUAGAUUCCUUUUAUAAGAUUAAGUAACUUAAAUUACUGCUUUUUAAAAAAAUUUACUUUUUAUUUUCAAAUUAGAUAAAUGUAUUUGUGUGGACCCAGCAAUGAAUAUUAAAUCUUUUGUUACCAUUUGGAUCUGCACUUAUGAAAUUAUUUAAUGUAUAGUUAUAGUACCGAAUUUGUCAUCUGUACCAUUUGAAGCGUUAGUUCUAUAUUUUAGUUUAAAAAUAUUUACAUAAACUUACUGAUAAUAUGAUUUAUAAUAUUAAUAUGUACACAUAAUCGAUUGCUUGUUUAUUCUGAUCUGAUGCGGCGUGUAAAUGCAGGGAAAAUGUAAUCGCAAUAGAUUUUGAGUUUUGUUUAAUAUUGCGAGAAAUAUUGUCGGAUUUUCGGUUCUCCGUUUGUCGGUCUGAGCAAAUAUGAUUUUGAGUUUCAAAACCGAAUUGGUUCAAUUUGGAUUUCAGAUUUGAGUUUCAUCUAUUAUGUUUGAGCGAGUUCAAAAUAUUUUAAAAAUCAAACCUCAUUUGAAAAUACCAACAUAAUAACGUGAUAAGCACUCUACCAUACAGAACACCAUGUAGGUAUAUAUAACAAGUGCAAAUGAAAAAGAAAUUAUGAAAAUGUUCGUUAUUAUAUAUAAUAUCACAUUCCGCACAUCAUAAUUAAUCGAUUAUAAUAUAUAUUUUUUUUAUAAUUUUAUUGAAAAACAGAGAAGUGUAUUUUUACAUAUUUUUGCUCUAAUCUUAGUUUAUUUAUAUGUAUUAGAUUAAUCUCAAUAUCAAACGGAUACUUAGCUGGUAAGCAUAAUUUAAUGUCACUAUCUUUGUUCCCAAUACACCAAUUCGCGCAGACCACAGAUGUAAACAUCUGAUCUUGAUUGCUGUUCCUGCUAAGCUUUUAAUUAUUUACCCUAAACAUUGCUGUCGAAGUCACUGUGGCUUUAUCAAAUCAAUCGUGUCGGAAACUACAACGUGUUGAAUUUGAUUCAAAGUAAUCUACAAUGAACAAGACAAAUUAUAACUUAUUCAAUAUUAUCGCCAUCAAAUUAUUGAUAUAUAUAUCAAUAGUAAGAUACCAGAUGAGAUCAUUGAAAGAGGGUCUGAUCCCAACUACAUUGUAGAUAAAACAGUAGUUUAAUUUAAAGAGUUUUAUUCUUUUCGGUGGUUGUGGACAUUCUCUGUGCACUUAAAUUUUGUGAAUAAAUAUUUGAGUGUUAAUACAAUGUAAUUAAAAGCUAAGGAUGCACCACUUUGAUCUUGUGUGUAUAUUAUCGGAUAAUGUACCACGAGUAUAUAUAAAUAUAUUUAUAUACUAGACACAAUAGAGACUUGGGAAAUAGGUUUUUUAAGAACAAAAAAUAUUUGGAAAAGUUGACUCUUAAUGCGCGAAGAGUACAUUUUCGUGUUUUACAUGCGAAGGUGUGAUUACGGCGAAGACGUGCCAUGGUGAUCUUCUUAUCUCAUGAGACUUUAUCAAAUUUGGGUGUUUCACAUUUUUUGAAUAUGGAAACUAACUUUAUGUCCAAGCAUGAAUGUGCCCCACUUGUUGUGCUUCAUAUUCUACAAUAGCAAUUUUUUUUUUUUUAAAAAAAAAGGGACUUGUUGUGUUUGGUUUUGUAGCAUUUCUAGCGCAAUAAAUCUCCGUGUUAAUAAACCCUACUUAGAUCGACCAUUUCUAACACAAAUAACAAAGCGCUUAAUGCAUGGUUCUUUCAGAAUAAACCCUACUUGAGCUAGGAUUCAAUUUCUACCUAAUUUUUUUUAACCGUAUGAACAGUAUCCGAUCCGACCCCGAUCCGACCCUGAUCCGAAUAGGUAACGUCAUUUUUAUGGCUUAUAAGACAUUUAUUAGACAAUGAUGUGUGGGUAAGAUGGACUCUGGAAUUUUCCAGUAACGCGGAGAAUUUUUGACUCUUGCUCGAUGCAACAGCUGUGAGGAAUAUGACUCGUACGAUCGGGUCCAAAUUUGUUCACUCGAUUAUUGUUGUCUCUCCCUUUGGUGCACCCAACUUAAGUUGUUAGACCCAUAGCUCAUUUAUUAUUAAAUUAUUAUUUUUGUCCACAGAAUAAUUUUGGUCCACAAUUUUGGUACCCUUUAGAGCUGUAAAAAAGUAGGGGAUUUUUUGCUUUGGUGUUUAUUAUUAUUAUUAUUAUUAUUAUUAUUCGAAUAAAAUAUUGUAGGCACUUUGCUUUGUUACAGAAAAUUUGAAGCAAGCAUGGACUGGAUGAGAUUGCAGAAUAAAUUUUUAGCUAGAAAAUGUAUUUUAAUAUUAUAUAUAUCAUGCCAAUAUACUACUUUAGAAAGAUGUAACAUAUUUUUUAAUUAAAAAAUUUUCAAAAUUAUUUGUCAGGAGAGUUAAUUUCUAUGAAAAUAGAGACACAUUCUUUCGCAGCAAAGUAAAUGAAAUUGACUACUUUUGGAUGUUUCCUAUGUUAUCAUUUUAGAGAAACUACAUAUGAAAUUAACCCCUCUGUUACUCUCUCUCUCUAGAUCUCUCUCUCUUUUGUAGGGAGUUGUUUGGUGUUUGUGGUGUGGAAUCAUCAAGUAAGCAGGAACAUGCAUGGUCUCCUUUGUUUUUUUUUUUUGGUCUUUUGCUUUUGCUUAUUGUUAUUGGUCUUUGCUACUUGUCCCUUUCUAUGUCUUGUUGUUUUUUUUUUUUUUUUUUUUUUUUUUUUUUUUGAUUAUAUAAGGAUACAUCCAAUUUGAGCAGGAGAUACAAUAGAGAAAAACAAUAGGAGGGCAGAGAAGGACCAUGCAUAGCGAUGGGCCUUACCAUUCAAACUUAGGGGCAAAUACAGUGUAGUUGAAGAUAUAUGCAAUUGAAAAUAUAGUAAUUGUACUCACAUGCAUCAUGUUUGGUUGGAUGUAGUAGAAAGCGCUGCAGCUAUAAAUAGUUUGUUUGGUUACAUAUAAUUGAAAAAUAAUUUUUAGAAUUUUAUCAUUUCAUAUAUAUGAUCGUGUGAUUGUCUCCUAUACAAAAAAAAAGAAAAAUAUUUUUUAUUUAAAAAAUAAUUAAGGAGGUAAGUAUAUUUUUUGUUUAAAGUUAUUCUUUUCAACUGCUACAGUUGGAUCUCUUCCCGCAGUUCUUACUACAAGAGUUGGAGUUAAAUACACUAAGCCAAAUACCGAAUUUGUAUUUGUAUGUAGUUAUAACUACAUUACAAUUACAACUGCAUAUAACCAAACAGUCCGUAGUGAAACGACCAACUGUGAGUAUUCUAUUUCUAAAAGAAAUCCACAAUAAAAAUCUUGACAGCGAAGAGGUGCCUUUAGUUUUCAAAGAAAACAAGUCAUGCAGUACUUGACUCCCCCAAAAUUAGAAAGUUGUGGGCAAUUGCCAAUCACAAGUUCCCACUAACAUGCCAUCUCCAAAUGAAAUGAGCGAGUCAUAGGAAUCGGACAGGGAGGUGGUGGUUAAUAUAUACGAAGCACAACUCCCUUCUCAUGUUGUACAAAUUUUAAAUCAUGUACGUUAUUAUUCUCAGAAGAAAAUUUUCACCUAACACGUAACUACUGUUUUUUUUUUUAUUUUUUUUUGAGAGAGAGAGAGAGAUAUAGGUAGCAUGCUAUCUGUUUCGUUUAUUUUAUUUAAAAAUAAAUUUAGCUGGAAUGAAUUAGGAUUCGAAUUUAGGUCUCGGAUACCAACCACAAAGUCUUUUGCCAUUUACUCUAAGGACGAUCGGUAAUACACAACUAUUGUUAGAAAAAUAUUUAACUGUUUCACUUCGAGCGUACAUAGAAAAUUGUAACACGCGGUUUGGAGGGAGCAAAAAGGAGAGAAAACAAAAGAAAAAGAAAAAGAAAAAGAAAAAGAAUAUUUUUUCCCUCAUUUGGAUUGAAACUUGAGAAGAAAAAAAGAGAAAGAAAUGGAGAGAAAUGACGAACUAUGUUCUCAUUUUUUAUUUCCUUAGUCUAAACGACAUGAGAGAUAAUUAUUAUAUUAUACAUAUUCCUUUUCUUUUAUCUUCUUGUUCUCUCCAUCCAAAUAAAGCAUAUAAAUGAGUUUGACGAUUGAAAAAAAAAGAAAAAAAAAGAAAAAAAAAAAAGGGG